UUUUUUUUUUUUUUUUUUUUUUUAUAACACAAAAUAGAGCCCUUUUUUUUUCUAGAUUCUUGUAGAAUGAUUAUAAAUAUAUUACAGGAAAAAUAGAGUACUCAUUUAGUGAGUUGAGAGUUGUACAAUGUUGACAAGCAAGCCUCUGCGGGCCAAAGGGUCCUUGUUCCCCUUUGUCUCUGGUAUAAUUACAGACACGAAAGAUGUACUGGACUGAUUCUUUAAGUGGACAAAUUAUAGAUUGGCCUAUCAAUCUCUGUCAAUACUAUUUGCAUUCUGUUCGCUGGACCGACAAAGCAUUCUGAAGAUGAGUGUCAAUCAACAAUUCAACAUUGCAAAGCAGUAGGCCUUAUCAGGGCGCUGGCGUUCAACAUCUUUGAAAAGAGCAUAGCCCACAAUAUUAGUCCACAUAUACACGUCUGAGAUAGGAUCGACCGAUUCAUCAUCUAUAUGUGAAAUACAAGGCUAAUAAGUUAUCUCAUUAAAUCUAAGAACACAAAGCCAUUCCAGAGGCUAUGCAAAAGCAUAGACGGCAUUAAAUUCCUUGACCUUGUAAAAAUAACACCCAUCACCAGCCCGAGAAAAAUAAGUGGAAGCAUUCUCUGUACAUUGAAAUGUGCUAGAGCAAAGGCAACUGAACUCACCAGGAUUGCACACCAUACAGGCAUGUACCUGGUUAAGGAAGGUAGAAGGAAACCCCGGAAGACGAUCUCCUCCCACAUAGGGGCACAAACUGAAACUACUAUCACAUACAGUGCCAUUGCCACUGGAUCUCUUGCUGCAAUAGACUGCUCGACACUUGAGAAAGUAACUGGCGUAGAAGGCAGAAUGGGCAAUAGGCUAAGGUUGAACUGUGAAAG
rnacentral:misc_RNA from 1 species